AAGGAGACACAAGGGCAGGGCUGGGGGCUGAAGUCUCAAGGCCUGGAAGGGUCUUUUAACUUUCGCACUGACCCUGUCUGCAAUUCCCUCUUCCCACAAUCUCCCAGGGCCUGUGAACUGUGGGUGAUGCGGCUAAAGCAACUUGAACUUUGACGCCAUGUCUUUGAUUUCUCUGGAUCCCUCACAGCUUGUUACAAAAGUGGAAGUUGCAUAUGAAUGAAGCCACUCCCUGACCAGCUCCAGUCUCAAUUUCCUGGACUGCUCCAGCCCAUGCUGACUUCCUCUCCUCUGAAUUCCUGUUAUGUGUAUGGACACCAAUCACCGUUCUGAACUUAGUCAUCCGGGGCCUGCCACCUUGAAUCACGUAAUCUUUAUCUCCCUCAUGGAAGAAAGAAGACUUCUGUAAUUCUCUUAUUUUCCCAUGGACCCCCCUCUGCCCACACACAGGCAAUUGGGAGAGUCUCCACAACUACUCCUUGAAUGAACAGCAAGAGGUUCCAGGAGUGCCGAGGUGGGGUGGGACAGGGUUGACCACAGGUGUGUCUCCAACCAAAAACAUUUGGGGAACACAAGUGUUUCUAAAGAUGCUCCUGCCUGCCACCCCC